UGCCUUCAUGUGUUGCCCGUUCGCUGCUUCCAUGGUGAUACGGGUGUCAGCUGAGGCAGACAGAAACUCUUACGGUCGCCUCUGUGGGCGGAGUCAGCUGCCCCUGACAGGACGUCUGGAAGGACACUC
rnacentral:snoRNA from 1 species